CACGUAGGGGGCAAGCGUUGUCCGGAUUUAUUGGGCGUAAAGAGCUCGUAGGUGGUUCGGUAAGUCGGGUGUUAAACCCCCAGGCUCAACCUGGGGACGCCACUCGAUACUGCUGUGACUUGAGUCCGGUAGGGGAGCGUGGAAUUCCUGGUGUAGCGGUGAAAUGCGUAGAUAUCGGAAGGAACAUCAGUGGCGAAAGCGACUUCCUGGACCAAUACUGACGCUCAUGUGCGAAAGCGUGGGGAGCAAACAGG
rnacentral:rRNA from 1 species